GGGGAAAAAUCCCCGCAGGCCGCAGACCAGGGCCUCCUCCUCCCUCCCCUCAACGUAGCGUCGCCACUCAUCCCACCGCCACACCAACGCCGGAGGUCGGAGCCGCGUAUCACACCGCCACACCUCCACCGGUGGCCGGAAUCCGCCCAUCCCACCACCACAUCAACGCCGGAGGUCGGAGCUGCCCAUCCUUGACUCCCUCCGCUGGUUGACCUUCGCGGCUCCGCACAAGGCGCCUUCUCCAAAGUUCAACACAUCCGGCCUGAUCUGAAAAACUGAAUCUAGUUUCUGCUCUUUCUGCGUUUCAUUUGCGCCGGCCGGGCUGAGCGCCGCCGGUCCCAUCCGCACCGGCCGGGGCCGCGGGGCGGCGCUGCAGGAUCUCAUUCGCGCCGGAGGGGCAGAUCGAGAUGCGGAUGGUCCGGAGGCGAGAUGCGCUGUUGCAGGUCCAGAAGCUCCCCUUUCCCUCUCCUUCCUCUCAGUUUGUUAUUACCACUAAGAAGAAGCCGCUGUUGCAGGUCCACGAGUGGCAGGCCAUCACGUUCCUGUGACUUGCCUAUUACUGCAGUGGCACGAUUUGAGGCAACUUCCUCGGGGGAAUAUUUUAGUUCAGAAUCGUUGGUCUAGCAACAGCUAGGUGCCUAGGUAACAGCAGCUUGCACAGGUAUAGUGAAUGUGCCAUCUGUGAGAUCUAUGGUGAAAUAAUCUCAUAGUGAAUGCCAUAUCUUUGUGAUACAUUUAAGGGACCUGUGUAUAGUGAAUGCAUGUGUGAACUCCAUGUUCCUGCAACUCUGCAAGUAUCUAUGAUGAAAAACAAUUUAUGGUUUGAUUUGAUCCAUAUGCUGUUUGUGCUUUGCACCUCUACAUAAUUGAAGCAUCAUAUACAAAGGUUCGAGAUAGCAUUUCAUGUUUUCAAUGACUACUGUAUGUGCUGUAUACUCUUCUGUCCAAUGCGAUGCAUGCAUGACUUGAAUGGAAUUAAAUUUCAUAGCAGCCA